AAAAGACCCCAUGGAGCUUCAAACCCAACUACACCCUUAACUACCACAACCGCACAACCUCUUAGGGCCCUGUAUAGUUGGUUUUAGGUUGGGGCGACCACGGAGUACAACCAAACCUCCGCAAUGGACGGGACCACUCCCUUAUCUAAGAGCCACACCUCUAAGAAUUAAAACACUAACAUAAAAUGAUCCAUGAUCUGAUCAAUGAACCAAGUUACCCUGGGGAUAACAGCGCAAUCCAUUUCAAGAGCCCUUAUCGACAAGUGGGUUUACGACCUCGAUGUUGGAUCAGGGUAUCCUAGUGGUGCAGCAGCUACUAAUGGUUCGUUUGUUCAACGAUUAAAACCCU
rnacentral:rRNA from 1 species